GACGAACGCUGGCGGCGUGCUUAACACAUGCAAGUCGAACGGAAAGGCCCUGCUUUUGUGGGGUGCUCGAUUGGCGAACGGGUGAGUAACACGUGAGUAACCUGCCCUUGACUUUGGGAUAACUUCAGGAAACUGGGGCUAAUACCGGAUAGGAGCUCCUGCUGCAUGGGGGGGGUUGGAAAGUUUCGGCGGUUGGGGCUGGACUCGCGGCUUAUCAGCUUGUUGGUGGGGUAGUGGCCUACCACGGCUUUGACGGGUAGCCGGCCUGAGAGGGUGACCGGCCACAUUGGGACUGAGAUACGGCCCAGACUCCUACGGCAGGCAGCAGUGGGGAAUAUUGCACAGUGGGCGGAAGCCUGAUGCAGCAACGCCGCGUGCGGGAUGACGGCCUUCGGGUUGUAAACCGCUUUCGCCUGUGACGAAGCGUGAGUGACGGUAAUGGGUAAAGAAGCACCGGCUAACUACGUG
rnacentral:rRNA from 1 species